rnacentral:rRNA from 1 species
AACGAACGCUGGCGGCAGGCUUAACACAUGCAAGUCGAGCGCCCCGCAAGGGGAGCGGCAGACGGGGGAGUAACGCGUGGGAAUCUACCCAUCUCUACGGAAUAACGCAUGGAAACGUGUGCCAAUAGCGUAUACGUCCUUCGGGAGAAAGAUUUAUCGGAGAUGGAUGAGCCCGCGUUGGAUUAGCUAGUUGGUGGGGUAAAGGCCUACCAAGGCGACGAUCCAUAGCUGGUCUGAGAGGAUGAUCAGCCACACCGGGACUGAGACACGGCCCAGACUCCUACGGGAGGCAGCAGUGGGGAAUAUUGGACAAUGGGCGCAAGCCUGAUCCAGCCAUGCCGCGUGAGUGAUGAAGGCCCUAGGGUUGUAAAGCUCUUUCACCGGUGAAGAUAAUGACGGUAACCGGAGAAGAAGCCCCGGCUAACUUCGUGCCAGCCGCCGCAGUAAGAC